UACGUAGGGUGCAAGCGUUGUCCGGAAUUAUUGGGCGUAAAGAGCUCGUAGGCGGUCUGUCGCGUCUGCUGUGAAAACUCGGGGCUUAACCCCGGACUUGCAGUGGGUACGGGCAGACUGGAGUGUGGUAGGGGAGACUGGAAUUCCUGGUGUAGCGGUGGAAUGCGCAGAUAUCAGGAGGAACACCGAUGGCGAAGGCAGUGAUCUGGGCCGGUACUGACGCUGAGGAGCGAAAGCGUGGGUAGCAAACAGG
rnacentral:rRNA from 1 species